rnacentral:rRNA from 1 species
GAUGAACGCUGGCGGCGUGCCUAAUACAUGCAAGUCGAGCGAACAGAUGAGGAGCUUGCUCCUCUGACGUUAGCGGCGGACGGGUGAGUAACACGUGGAUAACCUACCUAUAAGACUGGGAUAACUUCGGGAAACCGGAGCUAAUACCGGAUAAUAUAUUGAACCGCAUGGUUCAAUAGUGAAAGACGGUUUUGCUGUCACUUAUAGCUGGAUCCGCGCCGCAUUAGCUAGUUGGUAAGGUAACGGCUUACCAAGGCAACGAUGCGUAGCCGACCUGAGAGGGUGAUCAGCCACACUGGAACUGAGACACGGUCCAGACUCCUACGGGAGGCAGCAGUAGGGAAUCUUCCGCAAUGGGCGAAAGCUUGACGGAGCAACGCCGCGUGAGUGAUGAAGGUCUUCGGAUCGUAAAACUCUGUUAUUAGGGAAGAACAAAUGUGUAAGUAACUCUGCACGUCUUGACGGUACCUAAUCAGAAAGCCACGGCUAACUACGUG